ACUGCAGCAUUUAAUGCCGCUAUAGUGUAAUGUACAGUAUUGGUGUACGAAGGGCUGUUUGUGUAUAUUUUGUGUUUUAAUACAGGGGUGUGUUUGUAUGUAAUGUUUGUUUUUAAAUGCAGGGGCAUGUCUUAAUGUAAUGAUCAUGUUUAAAUGUGGAUGUACAUUUGUGUGAAGUAUUUGUGUUUGAGUGAAGGGGUGUGUUUGUAUAUAUUUUUUUGAGUUUGAAUGCAGGGGUGUGUUUGUAUGUAAUAUUUGUGUUGGAUUGCAGGAGUGUGCUUGUAGGUUUGUGCUGGUGUUUGCUUGGAUGUAUGCACAUACACUACUACAUACAUACAUACAUACUUACACACAUUCACAAAUACACAUACACUGACACUCAUGCUCACAAUCACGAUACUCGCACACACACACUCAUGCUCCUACAUAUACGCGCACACACGCUCCUACACAUACUCAUACCCACACACAUACAAACACUCAUACAGAUACACACACAUACACUCAC